CUCAGUUCAUUGAAAUCAGUGGUUUUAAGGCGUAUGCCAGGUCUGUUUGAGAAAGGGCUACCUAAAUUGGCAAAUUUAAAGAUUGGUUAUGGUCAAGAGCAAACAUAUUUAUGGCAAAGAUGGCAGAGUGAAACUCGGUUACUGCAAGAUAUUAGCUCCCUUAAACGGUUGCAGAUUUCAGGUUGUCCCCAGAUUUUUUCCUUGGUCACAGAGGAAGUACAUGACCAACAACAGCCAGAGUUGCAGUGCAGGCUGGAAUUGAGUCAUUGUGAAGACCUUACAAAGCUACCACAAGCAUUGCUCACCCUCACUGCCCUUAGAGAGAUGCGGAUAGAUGGCUGCGCUUCACUUGUUUCCUUUUCUCAGGCUUCUCUGCCUUCCCAGUUGCGAAAAAUUAUAAUCUCAAGUUGCGAUGCAGUUGAAUCCUUACCUGAGGCAUGGAGGCACAACUCCGACUUACCUCUUCAGAUUUUGAAUAUUCGAUUGUGUGGUUCGCUUGUUUCAUUUCCAGAGGUUGCUCUGCCUUCCCAGUUGAGAGCAGUUAGAUUUAUAGAAUGCAAAGCUCUGGAAUCCUUACCUGAGGCAUGGAUGCAAAAUAGCAAUACAUCUCUUGAAAGUUUGAAAUUUAAAAGAUGUGAUUCUUUGACAUAUAUUGCCAGAAUCCAGCUAUCCCCGAGCCUAAAGCGGCUGAUUAUCAAACGGUGUCCUAAUUUAAGGACUUUGACCCUCAAACAGGACAUCCGCCGUAGCAGCAGUGGGUCCACCUCCCUCACACCCUUUUCUUCAGAAAACGAGUUACCUGACACUCUGGAGCACCUUGAGGUCACUCAUUGCUCGAAUCUUGCUUUCUUGUCAUGGAAUGGAAAUCUACCUCGGGCUCUUAAGUACCUUUAUGUCAAAGACUGCUCAAAGCUAGAGUCAUUAGCAGAAAGGUUGGACAACACAUCCCUUGAAGAAAUCACUGUUUCAUGUUUGGAAAAUCUAAAAUCAUUACCUGACGGUUUGCAUAAUCUCCACCAUCUUCAAAGGAUUUGGAUAUUUGGAUGCCCAAAUUUUGAGUCAUUUCCCGAAGGAGGAUUGCCUUCUACGAAACUGACUCGGCUCACAAUCUGGAACUGCAAGAAUUUGAAGGCCUUACCCAACUGCAUGCACAAUCUCACCUCUCUUCUGCAUUUAGAAAUAAGAGAGUGUCCUAGCUUGGUAUCUUUCCCAGAGGAUGGUUUUCCCACCAACCUUCAAUCACUUGUGGUUGAUGAUCUGAAGAUAUCAAAGCCAUUGUUCGAGUGGGGAUUGGACAGAUUGGCCUCUCUCAGGGAAUUACGAAUUAGAGGAGGAUGCCCAGACCUGGUGUUAUCUCCCCGGUUUCCUGCCUCUCUAAUCCAACUGGGGAUUUCAGAUAUGCCAAAUCUGAAACGCCUAUCCUCAAUUGGUGAAAACCUCACUUCAUUGGAAACUCUGGAUCUCAGUAAUUGUCCGAAGGUCAAAUACUUUUCAAAGCAGGGUCUGCCCAAAUCACUUUUGCGACUAGACAUCGAUGAUUGCCCGUUGAUGGAAAAAAGGUGCAGAAAUGAUAAAAGAAAAUAUUGGCCCAUGAUUAAACGCGUACCUUAUGUCAGUAUUAAUGACAGAUUGCUUUUUUGAUGAAGACUGAUCCAGCGGUCCCAAUUGAUAUGAGAUUUCAAUUUGUAAACUAAACUAGAUUGUGUUAUUGUAAUAUCAAGUGCCUUCAUCAAUAAAAGAAGAAAAAAUAUGUUUGGGAUUUCAUGAUGCGCUUUAUUGUAACUGACUUUUCUGCUAUUGAGUUAAUUGUUUUGUCAUUAAAAAGUGAAGUCUUCUUCAAUAUAGAAUAAGGCUUUUGUGUUUUAAGUCUUCUAUUAUUCGGUGAGUUACGCUUUAAAUUGUUUUUUUUUUUCUUUUUCUUUUUUGUAAAUCUUAAGCUUUCAUUUCUCUUAUGUGUCGAUUAUAUGAUAAUGUUGAUUAUGUGAUAGACGUUAACAAUGCUAGCUUUCUUGAAUUGGUAUUUCAGUGAUUCAAAUCUUCAAAUUAUCUCUAUUAUGGAUUAAUCUGGCGAAUUGCACUGAUUCAAGCAUUUUUUUCAUUGUUAUUUGCCAAACUUUAAUGUCUAUUGACUGACUUUUAGAGUUUUGGGCUUGAAACUGAAGUGAUGAGAAUGAAAAUGCUCUUUAUUAACUUGAUUUUAUUUGGUAAUCAGACAAGUCUGUGUUGUUUUCAAAUCAAUCUUUGAUAUUUCGUUCGGUAUUAUGGUGUCGUGACCCAAAAACCACAACUACUGUAAAAUAAAAACUGUGAGGACAAAUGUGAGGGCAAUUGAGCAUAAGUAUAAUAGAUAAGGGACCAAAUAAAAUAAAAUUAUUCACUCCGUGUUAGCAAAAUUCAAGCUCUCUCGAGAUUGAAGUGAAAGAAGUGAAAGAGCCAAGAGAUGACAAAGGCAAAGACCAUGCCACAGGUUUUGUUUGUGAAGCAGCAUUUGAGUAAGCUCCUCAGCUUUUCAAGUGGAGUUUUGGUUAAUUGUUUGUUGUAGUAGAAGUUUUGAAGUGGAGUCUUCAAGCCAUUCGUUGAAAUGCCUGAAAGAAAAAAGAAUGCUUGUAUUAGUUUUAAUAUCGAAAUGGUGAGCAAUCACUACUCUGCUUUCCAUUGGAGGAGGAAAUUCAAAUCCUCAACAUUUCUUUCAAUGGUGAACAAUUCUUCUUUCAGGAAAUUUUUCAUGGACCCCCUCAACAAAAAAAAAAGAAAGGCCAGGCUUUAUGAGUUAUUUCUUCCAGGGCCUGGAUCUUUCUUGGCUUUCUGCAAACACAAGCUCUGAUAUAUUGUAUAUGGGAAUUCUCUUUGAAGAAUCAGAAGCCAAAAAUAUGAGCUAGGCUGAGCUGAUUUUGACUGGAGCUGUUCAAAUUACACCGGGUUCAGAGUCAACAAGUUUUCCUUUAGAUUCAAUACAAAAGCACGUGAAUUGGAUUCAUGUUAUGGCAUUUGGCUACCACAUGCCUCAGAGAGUAGAUUCUACUGGAGAUCAUGCAGCUGAUGAGCUGGUUUUGGUGAUCCUUUCUAUGGAUAUAUGCUUGUAUUCUGGUGAAUCCUGAGGAUACGGCAUUGAUGCACCAACAAAAGUGCCAGCAAUUACAGAUGCGUGAGACAUGAUCUAUAAGGCAUCAAGAGUUACAUUGCAAAGAUAUUAACAAGGUUUCUCAUGCCAAGGAAAGGAAGCUGCUUGGUUAUGUUGCGUGGCAAUCACGAUAAUUGGGUGCUCUCUCAAGCUGCAGGUAAGCAAAGCUUUAAUUAAUGAUUCUAAGUAACCUGUUUUAUCAUCCUUUGUUGUUAGGUAAAGCUGAUUAAUCCAAGUUCAUUCUGAGUAUGUAUGCAGCUAGUUAAAUUAAUCAAUAAUUUUAUAAUGUUAGUUUAUUGCUUUUUAAUGGCCUGCCAUAAUUAUUAGUUUAUUGCUUUUUUAAUUGCUUGCAGGAUUUUUAUUUAGCUGGAACAAAAGGACAAAUUGUGAAAUUCAGUUAGCGGUAUAUUAAUUUAACUCAUUAAAUUUUCUCUCUUGCUAUUUUAAGAAUCUAGAACCAGCAAAAUUUCUAAUUUCUCUUUUGAGUAUAGAGUUGAAUACUCAUUUCUCUUUUAGAUUUGUCACGAACUAUAGGUGGUUGAUAUAUAAAAUUAAAAAAAAAAAUUGCAUUUUCAUAGCUAAAGUUGUGGUCUACAGUAUUCAGAACAAGAAUCUGACAGAUCGGAACAGGAAAAUCUAUUUUAUUAAAGUAAUAGAUUGAAAAUGAUUUGCAUCAAGAUCUUUAUGCCACCUCUGGUUACCACAAUAAUCAAUUUUACAGCUCAGGAAGAUGAUAAAAAGCAACAAAACGAGGUGGGUUUAGUAGCAAUCACUUGCCCUACAGCUGCAGUUGUUUUAUUCUACUUUGCUAUGCUGUACAUAUCUGUUCUGGGAACAAGUUAC
rnacentral:lncRNA from 1 species